UACGUAGGGAGCGAGCGUUGUCCGGAUUCAUUGGGCGUAAAGAGCUCGUAGGCGGCUUGGUAAGUCGGAUGUGAAACCUCCAGGCUCAACCUGGAGUCGCCAUCCGAUACUGCCAUGGCUAGAGUCCGGUAGGGGCCCACGGAAUUCCUGGUGUAGCGGUGAAAUGCGCAGAUAUCAGGAGGAACACCGGUGGCGAAGGCGGGUCUCUGGGCCAAAACUGACGCUGAGGAGCGAAAGCGUGGGGAGCGAACAGG
rnacentral:rRNA from 1 species